rnacentral:rRNA from 1 species
GCACCGGCAGCAGAUGCUGAGCGCUGGGGCGCGCCAAGUUGGGGGUGGUAACAGGUAACGCACCUGCCUUUGGGAGAGGGAGCAACAGAGAAACGGCUGCUAAUAUCCCAUAGACUGAGGAGCAAAAGGAGGAAUCCACCCAAGGAGGGGCUCGCGUUUAAUUAGCUAGUUGGUGAGGUAAUAGCUUACCAAGGCGAUGAUCAGUAGUUGGUCCGAGAGGAUGAUCAGCCACACUGGGACUGAGACAAGGCCCAGACUCCUACGGGAGACAGCAGUGGGGAAUUUUCCACAAUGGGCGAAAGCCUGACGGAGCAAUGCCGCGUGGAGGAAGAAGGCCUACAGGUCGUCAACUUCUUUUCCCGGAGAAGAAACAAUGACGAUAUCUGGGGAAUAAAAGCAUCGGCUAACUCUGUGCCAGCAGCCGCGGUAGAACAGAGAAUGCAAGCGUUUCCGGGAAUGAUUGGCGAUAGGCGUUUGUAGUGGCUUUUUAAGUUUCCCGCAAAGUCCCAGGGCUCAAACCCUGGACGUGGUGAAAACUACCAACUGAAGUAACAUGGGGCAGGAGGGAUUUCCGGUGGAGCGAUGAAAUGCGUUGAAUUGGAUAGGAACAACCAACGGCGAAAGCAAUCUGCUGGUUCGAGGCCGACCUUGCAUUGAGAGAUAAAACUAGGGGGCGAAUGGGGAUAUAGACCCCAGUAGUCCUAGCCGUAAACGAAUGAUACUAAGCGUUGUGACGUAUGACCCGUGCAAUGCUGUAACAAACGCUUAAGUAUCCGCCUGGGGAGACUUCGCAAGAAUGAAACUCAAAAGAAUUGACGGGGGCCCGCACAAGCGGUGGAGCAUGUGGUUUAAUUCGAUGCAAAGCAAAGAACCUUUCAAGGGCUUGACAUGCCGCAAAUCCUCUUGAAAGAGAGGAGUGUUUUCGGGAACGCGGACACAGGUGGUGCAUGGCUGUCGUUAGCUCCUGACGUAAGGUGUUGGAUUAAGUCCUGCAACGAGCGCAACCCUUGUGUUUUAGUUGGCCAACAUUGAGUUGGAUAACCAUCUGAACAGCAUUGUCGGUGAUAAGCUGGAUAGAAGGUGAGUGGAUUGACGUCAAGUCAUCAUUGCCCCUUUACGCCCUGGGCGGAACACACUGUGCUACAAUGGAAGAUACAAAGGAUCGCGGGACCCUUAUACGAGGGUGAUGCUAACUUUCAAAAAAAUACCUAGUCCUCAGUUCGGAUUGUAGGCGUGCAAAACUCGCCUACAUGAAGUCCGGCAAAUCGCGUGUGCUCAGACCCAUAAACGGCGGUGACAUUCGUGCCCAGGCCUUGUACACAUUCGCCCGUCACCGACAUAUGCGGAGCUGGGACCAUGCCCAAGUCGUUUACCUUAACCGCAAGGAGGGGGAAUGCCGAGGUAGGGCUAGUGACUGGAGUGAGUCGUAACACAAGGUAGCAUACUGGAAAGUUGCGACUG